rnacentral:rRNA from 1 species
UACAGAGGUCUCAAGCGUUGUUCGGAUUCAUUGGGCGUAAAGGGCGCGUAGGCGGCGGGGUAAGUCGGGUGUGAAAUCUCAGAGUUCAACUCUGAAACUGCACUCGAUACUGCUCUGCUUGAGGACUGGAGAGGAGACUGGAAUUCACGGUGUAGCAGUGAAAUGCGUAGAUAUCGUGAGGAAGACCAGUGGCGAAGGCGGGUCUCUGGACAGUUCCUGACGCUGAGGCGCGAAGGCCAGGGGAGCAAACGGG